UACAGAGGUCCCAAGCGUUGUUCGGAUUCACUGGGCGUAAAGGGUGCGUAGGUGGUCAGGUAAGUCGGAUGUGAAAUCUCCGAGCUCAACUCGGAAACUGCAUUGGAAACUACCCGGCUCGAGGGUUGGAGGGGGGACUGGAAUGCUUGGUGUAGCAGUGAAAUGCGUAGAUAUCAAGCGGAACACCAGUGGCGAAGGCGAGUCCCUGGACAACUCCUGACACUGAUGCACGAAAGCUAGGGGAGCAAACAGG
rnacentral:rRNA from 1 species